GGCUGGCUUUGAACCCCUGAUCCUCCUGCCUCUCAGCCUCCUGAGCUGCUGGGAUUAUAGAGGAAGGACCUUGUUUGGUGGCUGGCUCGACCUGAAAACGUACUGGAUAAGAGUCAUUCAAUCUGAGUGGGACCAGAUGCCUCUACCAAGUGGCUGAGAGACCACAGUCAUUUACUAUCUUGAGCUUCAGCUUUCCUAAUCUGUACAAUGGAAAUAUCAGCCGACUGUGUAAGACUGGAGGGAAUAUGGAACAGGAUUAUAUAUAACAGAGUCUUCACAUAGUGCCCAAUAAGCCAUAUGAGCUUCUGAUUGGAGUCUAAAUUCUUCGUCUUCAUCAUGGACAGUGGAGAGUUCCCUCUUCUAAAGAGAUUGCAUAGACUCUCCUCAAAAUCAGAAACAACAACAACAACAACAACAGCAAAAUGAACAAGAUGAGAUCUUUGGCCCAGAGAAAAGAUCACACUUGCCUAGCGUCUCAAGACUGUCCGGGAAGCCGGGUCCACACAAGAACACGAGACACCGGUCAGUCCACUUGACAGCAGCAAGGAUCUCAUUCCAGCCAUCUAGGAUAAAAGCAGCCUCUACCAUUUCUGCAUCUCCAGAAAGGAGAACACCAUGACCUCCUUUGAAGGUUUACCAGAGCCCAACACACCAGAAGAACCACCAAGGAGGAAGAAGAAACUUGGAGAGGAGGUAGCGGUCGUGCCACUCAGAGGCUUCACCACCUAGAGACGCACGGUGCAGACAGAAACACAACAGAAAAUACGGACGCCGUGGACUGGUUGGGAUGGCAAUAUUCUGGUCCCUUCGGGUCCCUUCUGGCUCUGAUGUCCUGUGGAACCUGAGAGAAUUUUCGGUCAGCUCCACCUCAGUGUGGAUGUGCCCAUGAGAGUCUUUCCUGAAGAAAGCGUUUCUCACGAAGAACUUGGUGUCCCGGAGAGAACAAGGUCGCGAGAAGGAAGACAGAGUACAGAGCACGGGUGUCGGCGUUUCCUGGCUCUGCCUGCACCCCACCUUUAGCUUUUCCUCCAAUGGAACCAUACGCGUCCAAAUUUUCCCAGUCAGAAUGUUUUGAGGUCUUUGCUCUUUGUUUCCUAACCGUUUGCCUUCCCCCUUAGACUUUCCCUAGAGUCCUCUGUGGUCACUGUCCCCUCUAUGUAUGCUUCUCUACCUACGGUGUGACAUUUGGCUAGACAACAGCAUCCAGUUUCCUGGAUGGGAACUAAUCCUCACCCAAAGUGAGAUGUGUCAGGGGAGGGCACAUCCCAGGGAGGCUGUGGGGGGUGGCACAUGGUGUGAAUACCAGCCUGGAUAAUACAAAAACUCAACAUCUGGAUUCAGAAGACGGUGGCUGUAGGCCUGGCUCUGGCCCUGACGGUCCACGUUACUUUGGGCAGCCCAUCUAGUUGCCUGAACCUAGAUAUCUUUAUUUGUGAAGGGAGGAGUGUUCAAGAUGGAAUUUGAAGUCCUUUAUUUCAAAUAUAUAUAUAUAUGUAUGUAUAUGUUUUCUGUUGCUGUAAUAAAAUCCUGAGACUGAGAA